AUGACUUAAGGGAAGCUAGAAUAAAAACCCUACUUAAUGACAUCCAGUUAAUUGGCUAAUGUUCUGGGCUCUCAGAUCUUAUACACGUGUUUAUCAGAAGACAAACUGUCUCCUACCCUUGUAUCUUGGAAUCAUCCCUGGAUUUCUAUGUAGUUCUUUGGGUGUGAGUGUCUAUUGUCACUUUCUUCUUUGUCUUCUACUCUUGGGAUGGAGAUCCUGUUCUGCUGUUUUUGCAUUCCUGUCCCGGAGCCUCCACCCAAACUCCAACUCAACACCUGGCAUUCACUGCAGGACUUCCUGGAACUGUAGUUUCUGCCUGCCAGCCUGGAUUUCUGAGGACCACUGCUCUGACUUCUCCUACACUCUCUACCCUGGCAGCAAGGACCACACUGCCAAACUGCCAUUCGGGGUUAAAGGAGAAGGCAGAGCUCUUCAAAUUUUCUGAGGCAGAACUGUGUAUGGAGGAUGAUGAUAUCAGCCUUGUUCGGUUAAACAAAGAGAAAACCACUUCACCAGAAGAGGGUCCAUCAACCUGAACACUGAAGAGGAAGAAACAAGCCUGAUGAUUGGAAAGGAAAUUCUUUAAGUGUGAAUUGCUUCGAGUACAAUAUAAACCUUGUCAGUUAUGGGAUUCCAGCUGUUGUUUUAUUGCCUUUAAUUUCCCAUUAGUGGUUCAAUGUCUGGGAAAGGUAUCUGGCCUCCAGGAGGGGAAGUAAGGUCAGAACUGUUGUUCCUGUCUCUGCCAACAUUUUGAAUAGUGUUUAAAUGAAGCCAUUCAAAAGAU